GACGAACGCUGGCGGCGUGCUUAACACAUGCAAGUCGAACGGAAAGGCCCUGCUUUUGUGGGGUGCUCGAGUGGCGAACGGGUGAGUAACACGUGAGUAACCUGCCCUUGACUUUGGGAUAACUUCAGGAAACUGGGGCUAAUACCGGAUAGGAGCUCCUGCUGCAUGGUGGGGGUUGGAAAGUUUCGGCGGUUGGGGAUGGACUCGCGGCUUAUCAGCUUGUUGGUGGGGUAGUGGCUUACCAAGGCUUUGACGGGUAGCCGGCCUGAGAGGGUGACCGGCCAAAUUGGGACUGAGAUACGGCCCAGACUCCUACGGGAGGCAGCAGUGGGGAAUAUUGCACAAUGGGCGGAAGCCUGAUGAAGAAACGCCGCGUGCGGGAUGACGGCCUUCGGGUUGUAAACCGCUUUCGCCUGUGACGAAGCGUGAGUGACGGUAAUGGGUAAAGAAGCACCGGCUAACUACGUG
rnacentral:rRNA from 1 species